rnacentral:siRNA from 1 species
UGAGAAGUUGAAGGUCAGUGA